rnacentral:rRNA from 1 species
ACCUAGGGCCACGCCACCCUGAACACACCUGAUUUCAUCUGAUCUCGGAAGCUAAGCAGGGUUGGGCCUGGUUAGUAUUUGGAUGGGAGACACUGAGCAGAGCAGGUCCCCAGACU